rnacentral:rRNA from 1 species
GACGUAGGGUGCGAGCGUUGUCCGGAUUUAUUGGGCGUAAAGAGCUCGUAGGCGGCUCGUCGCGUCGACCGUGAAAACCCGCGGCUUAACUGCGGGCUUGCGGUUGAUACGGGCGGGCUAGAGUUCGGUAGGGGAGACUGGAAUUCCUGGUGUAGCGGUGAAAUGCGCAGAUAUUAGGAGGAACACCGGUGGCGAAGGCGGGUCUCUGGGCAGUAACUGACGCUGAGGAGCGAAAGCGUGGGGAGCGAACAGG